UUCUUUGAGGGGACACAUUAAACUUUGAGGAAGUAGUGUCUUGUUCAGUGUUCACGGUUUAUAUUGCUGAAGGACAAUUACAAGUCUAAACGGAUAAGAGUCGUCAUUUCAAGGUGUUUUCGCGGACGUAUUGGCAUGUGGAUGUUGACAGUGUCGGAAGUAUUAAUCAAAGUUGACACGAGAAGUUGGAGCGAAUGCGAGAAGAGCAUGCAAUGAGCUGCCUGCCUGCUGCUGCUGCCUACUGCCUACUCCUGCUGCUGCCGCUGCUGCUGUUGCAUCCAAGUAAGUUUGGCUGCUAAAAUGUUUUGAUAUUCACUGAACAGACAUGCAAUUGUCUGCAUAGUCCUUUCUUAUUUGAAAGAUGAAUCCCUGUCGCUUGCAAGAUACACAAUCUCAUGCCCAUCGUGCAUAGUCAUUGCAUGAGAGGUGGACGCCGGAUGUAAACAAACUAGGGGGUGUCACGUUGAGUAGCUUUGCAGAUGUAGGCAGAGAUUGGCACAUUACUAACGGUGUUGGACUACCAUAAAUGUAAGUUAGUUUCUUUUCUGAGGUCUUUGUAGUGAGUCAUGUUGUUUUUUGUAUGUUUAGAUGAGGUAAGCUUAAGCCUACUGACUUCUGAAAUGACUGCAUGAAUGAUUUGUCCCAAGCUUUCUUACAGUAGGCUACUGACCUCAGAAAUAAUUCAUGGCGUUGUGAACCUGCUGAUGUAUUUAUUUGCACUCAUGUAGUAAUUUACUGUGAUGAAAGCUAAAUUGUGACUUGACUUUUCCCUCUCUCAGUUGUUGGCUCAUGACAGAUUUAUUUGAUAAGUGGAAGUGCCCGCUGAUGCAGACCCAGUGUAGGCCUAAGUAUACAUGCUGGCAUUGUUUUUGUGACAUUUAAUCUCAUCUAAAUCAUCAUGUUUUUGAACAGUGUUGGGUAGCCAGCCACCCAUGCAUGUUGACACAGUCAGCAGCGGGCACCCAUGGCACAUGGGGAUGGACCCAGGAGUGGAGGAUGACCCAAUAGGAUGAACGUUCAGCCCACUCACUGUUGACACCAGUGACACAGUAUUGACCAGAUCUCCUGGAAGUGCCCCCUGACGCAGACCCAGUUGUUGGGUAGCCACCCAUGCACGUUGACACAGCCAGCACCGAGCACCCAGGGGGAUGGAACCAGGAAUGGAGGAUGGUCCAAUAGGGAAGCAUCAUGAAGGCAGUUUACCCCUGAAACUUUUUACAAAGGACCAUCAUCGUCAGAGAAGUUCCUUUAACCCUUUAUCUCCCAUAGCGGCCGUGAACGCCCGGCCACCUCUCCAAUAACGCCCGCCGACUUCCGGAGUAUUUUCAUAGCUGAACAGAAGUCAUCAUGCAGUUUCUACAGCUUUCACUUUAGAUCACUAUUACGGACUCUCAAUAUAUUUUUAUUAUAAAAACUAUUUUGGGAAAUCCUGAACUACAGUGCAAAGUGGCUGAGCUCAAAACUACGGGCUCGCUGCUGCUGCCCAGUAGAAAAUAUCUUUUAAAUGCAGUACAGUUCCUAAUUGUGCGUUCAUGUGGUAAUUACGUAAAUACCAAACACUGACAUCCGAAGCACACAUGAACGCCACCGGCCCUUGUAGAAAAUUUUGAUUAAUGAAUGCACUAUAUCUCUUCUCUUGCCUACCUCUCUUCUCCACAAGCUCUCCCCUCAUCUAAUCUCUUCAUUUUGCUAGUCCUCAUCUCUCUUUCUUCAUUGUGUUACUGUUUAAGCUGAUAACUGUUACUUUUAAAAAUUAAAUAGUUAAAGAUA